AGAGUUUGAUCAUGGCUCAGGACGAACGCUGGCGGCGCUAACACAUGCAAGUCGAGCGAGAACCAAGCCUUCGGGCUUGGGGACAGCGGCGAACGGGUGAGUAACACGUGGGUAAUCAACCCUCGACACUGGGAUAGCCCGGGGAAACCCGGAUUAAUACCGGAUACUCCAUCUGGCUUUCGGGCCGGCUGGAAAAGGUAGCUUCGGCCUCCGGUUGGGGACGAGCCCGCGGCGGAUUAGCUUGUUGGUGGGGUAAAGGCCCACCAAGGCGACGAUCCGUAGCUGGUCUGAGAGGACGAUCAGCCACACUGGGACUGAGACACGGCCCAGACUCCUACGGGAGGCAGCAGUGGGGAAUCUUGCGCAAUGGGCGAAAGCCUGACGCAGCGACGCCGCGUGAGGGAAGAAGGCCUUCGGGUUGUAAACCUCUUUCAGGAGGGACGAAGCCACUCGGGUUAAUAGCCCAGAGGGUGACGGUACCUCCAGAAGAAGCCCCGGCUAACUACGUGCCAGCAGCCGCGGUAAUACGUAGGGGGCAAGCGUUGUCCGGAUUUAUUGGGCGUAAAGAGCGUGUAGGCGGCCACACAGGUCAGCUGUGAAAACUCGAGGCUCAACCUCGAGACGUCGGUUGAAACCGUAUGGCUAGAGUCCGGAAGAGGAGAGUGGAAUUCCCGGUGUAGCGGUGAAAUGCGCAGAUAUCGGGAAGAACACCUAUGGCGAAGGCAGCUCUCUGGGACGGUACUGACGCUGAGACGCGAAAGCGUGGGGAGCAAACAGGAUUAGAUACCCUAGUAGUCC
rnacentral:rRNA from 1 species